rnacentral:misc_RNA from 1 species
GUGAAGAACGCAGCGAAAUGCGAUACUUGGUGUGAAUUGCAGAAUCCCGUGAACCAUCGAGUCUUUGAACGCAAGUUGCGCCCGAAGCCAUCAGGUUGAGGGCACGUCUGCCUGGGCGUCACAUAUCGUUGCCCAAUGCCUAUUGCAGUGCAAUAGGAAUUUCUAGGGCGAAUGAUGGCUUCCCGUGAGCGUUGUUGCCUCGCGGUUGGUUGAAAAUCGAGUCCUUGGUAGGGUGUGCCAUGGUAGAUGGUGGUCGAGUUAGAACGAUACCGAUCAUGUGCAUGCUCCCCAAAAUAUGGCCUCUAUGACCCACACGCGUCUUUUGACGCUCAUGACGAGACCUCAGGUCAGGCGGGGCUACCCGCUGAAUUUAAGCAUAUCAAUAAGCGGAGGA